rnacentral:lncRNA from 1 species
AUGAGGUCUUUUCACAUGCAUUCACAGAUCCAAAGUCCAGAAACUGCUUCAUGGAGAGCGGGAAUAGGGAGAAGCGUGAAUAGAAAUCCAUUGGCCCUGAAUGCUGCGUUCGGAGCCAGCACCAGAAUCUGGGUUUGGGCUGGGACCUGGGACUGGGCCCGGGAUGGCCAACAUGGCCUGUCGCAGGUACUUCAUAAACCUCAUUUCGGACCGCGAUCCAGAAGAAGCAAAGAAACAGCAGCCACUGACCUGGGAGCGCCAUCACGCGAGGUGCUUGCGAGCCGGAACACCAGGAAAGAAAAUGCCUUCUCCAACCACUUAUUCAGCACCUCUGGGAAAAUUUGAAGAUAAUCAUUUUCCUAGUCUAUCUCUGGUUGGUCUAGGAGAUUUUCCAUCUCAGAAAGGUAAUUCUCAAUAAGUUCAUAGGAAUUUGAAAGUCAA